AUUAACUUCAAAGCAAUGCAAAGAGGGAGAUCAAGUCAAUCUUCAAGAGUGCUACUGGUGUUUGAAAUGUAUUCAUUAAACAAAGGAACUGCAGGAACUGAAAACCUGCUGCCCAUGGAGAAUUGCCUCUGGGGAUACCUGACCACUAAAUAUGACAGCUGCGGAAAUAGAAAGGAUGAAAAUUAGCCACAAAGGAAAUAAGCAACUUUCCCAAGAACGUACAGUAAAUCUAUAGAAGUCCCAAAACCAGAAUUGAAAUCUACGAAGCACUGAAAUCCUAUUAACCCCACAACAUACCCUUUCUUUUGGAUUGAAUAUCACAAAUAAAUGUACAAUUUUACAAACAGUAAUUUUACAGCUUAAUGAAAACUUAUUCUGAAUAUAAUAUUAGAUAUGAUGAGGAAUGUCAAGUAUUGUGCUAUCCAGUACGAAGUAGAGACCGAACUCCACUCCUAU